GGGGUACGAGAGGGCCGCUACCACGCGAGUGGAUGCCAAUCCCUAAAACCCCUCUCAGUUCGGACUGGAGUCUGCAACCCGACUCCACGAAGCUGGAUUCGCUAGUAAUCGCGCAUCAGCCACGGCGCGGUGAAUACGUUCCCGGGCCUUGUACACACCGCCCGUCAAGCCAUGGGAGCCGGGGGUACCUGAAGUGCGUAACCGCGAGGAUCGCCCUAGGGUAAAACUGGUGACUGGGGCUAAGUCGUAACAAGGUACC
rnacentral:rRNA from 1 species